rnacentral:rRNA from 1 species
CCCUUAGAGUUUGAUCCUGGCUCAGAUUGAACGCUGGCGGCAUGCCUUACACAUGCAAGUCGAACGGUAACAGGGAGCUUGCUCCGCUGACGAGUGGCGAACGGGUGAGUAAUACAUCGGAACGUGCCCAGUAAUGGGGGAUAGCUCGGCGAAAGCCGGAUUAAUACCGCAUACGCCCUGAGGGGGAAAGUGGAGGACCGCAAGGCCUCACGUUAUUGGAGCGGCCGAUGGCUGAUUAGCUAGUUGGUAGGGUAAAGGCCUACCAAGGCGACGAUCAGUAGCUGGUCUGAGAGGACGAUCAGCCACACUGGGACUGAGACACGGCCCAGACUCCUACGGGAGGCAGCAGUGGGGAAUUUUGGACAAUGGGGGAAACCCUGAUCCAGCAAUGCCGCGUGUGCGAAGAAGGCCUUCGGGUUGUAAAGCACUUUUGUCAGGGAAGAAAUCCUUUGGGCUAAUACCCUAGGGGGAUGACGGUACCUGAAGAAUAAGCACCGGCUAACUACGUGCCAGCAGCCGCGGUAAUACGUAGGGUGCAAGCGUUAAUCGGAAUUACUGGGCGUAAAGCGUGCGCAGGCGGUUGUGUAAGACAGGUGUGAAAUCCCCGGGCUUAACCUGGGAAUUGCAUUUGUGACUGCACGACUAGAGUGUGUCAGAGGGGGGUGGAAUUCCACGUGUAGCAGUGAAAUGCGUAGAUAUGUGGAGGAACACCAAUGGCGAAGGCAGCCCCCUGGGAUAACACUGACGCUCAUGCA